rnacentral:lncRNA from 1 species
CAACUAUUAUGUCGUGGUUUUCUAAACUAGGGUAGCAAAGCAUGCACGGGCACUGUGCUUUUUUUAGGGGGAGCUAAGCUUUAUUGAUGACAAUCCACAUGUAGUGGGAUAUAAUUCGGAUCAUGGGGACUGUCCAACCAAACAUGGCGUCCCAGACCAAGAGUAAGAGAGUGCUUAGCUAAACUAUGUGCUUCGCCAUUAACGGCACGGGCACUGUGCUUUUUUUAGGGGGGGGAGCUAAGCUUUAUUGAUGAUAAUCCACAUGUAGUGGGAUACAAUUCGGAUCAUGGGGAUUGGCCAACCAAACAUGGCGUCCCAGACCGGGAGUAANNNNNNNNNNNNNNNNNNNNNNNNNNNNNNNNNNNNNNNNNNNNNNNNNNNNNNNNNNNNNNNNNNNNNNNNNNNNNNNNNNNNNNNNNNNNNNNNNNNNNNNNNNNNNNNNNNNNNNNNNNNNNNNNNNNNNNNNNNNNNNNNNNNNNNNNNNNNNNNNNNNNNNNNNNNNNNNNNNNNNNNNNNNNNNNNNNNNNNNNNNNNNNNNNNNNNNNNNNNNNNNNNNNNNNNNNNNNNNNNNNNNNNNNNNNNNNNNNNNNNNNNNNNNNNNNNNNNNNNNNNNNNNNNNNNNNNNNNNNNNNNNNNNNNNNNNNNNNNNNNNNNNNNNNNNNNNNNNNNNNNNNNNNNNNNNNNNNNNNNNNNNNNNNNNNNNNNNNNNNNNNNNNNNNNNNNNNNNNNNNNNNNNNNNNNNNNNNNNNNNNNNNNNNNNNNNNNNNNNNNNNNNNNNNNNNNNNNNNNNNNNNNNNNNNNNNNNNNNNNNNNNNNNNNNNNNNNNNNNNNNNNNNNNNNNNNNNNNNNNNNNNNNNNNNNNNNNNNNNNNNNNNNNNNNNNNNNNNNNNNNNNNNNNNNNNNNNNNNNNNNNNNNNNNNNNNNNNNNNNNNNNNNNNNNNNNNNNNNNNNNNNNNNNNNNNNNNNNNNNNNNNNNNNNNNNNNNNNNNNNNNNNNNNNNNNNNNNNNNNNNNNNNNNNNNNNNNNNNNNNNNNNNNNNNNNNNNNNNNNNNNNNNNNNNNNNNNNNNNNNNNNNNNNNNNNNNNNNNNNNNNNNNNNNNNNNNNNNNNNNNNNNNNNNNNNNNNNNNNNNNNNNNNNNNNNNNNNNNNNNNNNNNNNNNNNNNNNNNNNNNNNNNNNNNNNNNNNNNNNNNNNNNNNNNNNNNNNNNNNNNNNNNNNNNNNNNNNNNNNNNNNNNNNNNNNNNNNNNNNNNNNNNNNNNNNNNNNNNNNNNNNNNNNNNNNNNNNNNNNNNNNNNNNNNNNNNNNNNNNNNNNNNNNNNNNNNNNNNNNNNNNNNNNNNNNNNNNNNNNNNNNNNNNNNNNNNNNNNNNNNNNNNNNNNNNNNNNNNNNNNNNNNNNNNNNNNNNNNNNNNNNNNNNNNNNNNNNNNNNNNNNNNNNNNNNNNNNNNNNNNNNNNNNNNNNNNNNNNNNNNNNNNNNNNNNNNNNNNNNNNNNNNNNNNNNNNNNNNNNNNNNNNNNNNNNNNNNNNNNNNNNNNNNNNNNNNNNNNNNNNNNNNNNNNNNNNNNNNNNNNNNNNNNNNNNNNNNNNNNNNNNNNNNNNNNNNNNNNNNNNNNNNNNNNNNNNNAUUAACGGCACGGGCACUGUGCUUUUUGUAGGGGGGGAGCUAAGCUUUAUUGAUGAUAAUCCACAUGUAGUGGGAUACAAUUCGGUUCAUGGGGAUUGGCCAACCAAACAUGGCAUCCCAGACCGAGAGUAAUAGAGUGCUUAGCUAAACUAUGUGCUUCACCAUUAACGGCACGGGCAUUGUGCUUUUUUUAGCGGGGAAGCUAAGCUUUAUUGAUGAUAAUCCGCAUGUCGUGUGAUACAAUUCGGAUCAUGGGGAUUAGCCAACCAAACAUGGCGUCCCUGACCGAUAGUAAGAGAGUGCUUAGCUAAACUAUGUGCUUCAUGAAAAUGUAGGGGCUUUUUUGCAAAACGGUGCGACGGACGGGCAGAAACCCUACGUGCUUUAUUAUUAGGUAGAGAUUUACGUUGAAUGAACAAUUGGGACAUUGAACUAUUCUGUCAUUAUUUGGGUUGGACAACUAUUUUUUUUGAGCGGUAAAGUUGGACAACUAUUAUGUCGUGGUUUUUUAAACUAGGGUACAAUUUCGAACAUGUAGUGGGAAUCUAAGCUUUAUUGAUGAUAAUCCACACGUAGUGGCAUACAAUUCGGAUCAUGGGGAUUGGCCAACCAAACAUGGCGUCCCAGACCGAGAGUAAGAGAGUGCUUAGCUAAAUUAUGUGCUUCGCCAUUAACGGCACGGUCACUGUGCUUUUUUAUUAGGGGGGAAGCUAAGUUUUAUUGAUGAUAAUCCACAUGUAGUGGGAUACAAUUCGGAUCAUGGGGAUUGGCCAACCAAACAUGGCGUCCCAGACCGAGAGUAAGAGAGUGCUUAGCUAAACUAUGUGCUUCGCCAUUAACGGCACGGGCACUGUGCUUUUUUUUGAAGGAAAUAUGCCCUAGAGGCAAUAAUAAAGUUAUUAUUUAUUUCCUCAUAUCAUGAUAAAUUAUUAUUAUUCAUGCUACAAUUGUAUUAACCGGAAACAUAAUACAUGUGUGAAUACAUAGACAAACAUAGUGUCACUAGUAUGCCUCUACUUGACUAGCUCGUUAAUCAAAGAUGGUUAAGUUUCCUAACCAUAGACAAGAGUUUUCAUUUGAUUAACGGGAUCACAUCAUUAGGAGAAUGAUGUGAUUGACUUGACCCAUUCCGCUAGCUUAGCAUUUGAUCGUUUAGUUUACUGCUAUGCUUUCUUCAUGACUUAUACAUGUUCCUAUGACUAUGAGAUUAUGCAACUCCCGAUUACCGGAGGAACACUUUGUGUGCUACGAAACAUCACAACGUAACUGGGUGAUUAUAAAGGUGCUCUACAGGUGUCUCCGAUGGUACUUGUUGAGUUGGCAUAGAUCGAGACUAGGAUUUGUCACUCCGAUUGACGGAGAGGCAUCUCUGGGCCCUCUCGGUAAUGCACAUCACAAUAAGCCUUGCAAGCAAUGUGACUAAUGAGUUAGUUGCGGGAUGAUGCAUUACGUAACGAGUAAAGAGACUUGCCGGUAACGAGAUACCGACGAUCGAAUCUCGGGCAAGUAACAUACCGAUGACAAAGGGAACAACGUAUGUUGUUAUGCGGUUUGACCGAUAAAGAUCUUCGUAGAAUAUGUGGGAGCCAAUAUGAGCAUCUAGGUUCCGCUGUUGGUUAUUGACCGGAGACGUGUCUCGGUCAUGUCUACAUAGUUCUCGAACCCGUAGGGUCCGCACGCUUAAAGUUCGGUGACGAUCGGUAUUAUGAGUUUUUGUGUUUUGAUGUACCGAAGGUAGUUCGGAGUCCCGGAUAUGAUCACAGACAUAACGAGCAGUCUCGAAAUGGUCGAGACAUAAAGAUCGAUAUAUUGGACGACUAUAUUCGGACACCGGAAGUGUUCCGGGUGGUUUCGGAGAAAACCGGAGUGCUGGAGGCUUACCGGAACCCCCCUGGGAGAAAUAGUGGGCCUUAUGGGCCUUAGUGGAGAGAGAGAGGGCUGGCCUAGGGCAGGCCGCGCACCCCUCCCCCUCUGGUUCGAAUUGGACUAGGAGAGGGCUGGCGGCGCCCCCCUUUCCUUCUCCCUCUCCCCCUUCCUUUCCCCCUCCUAGUAGGAGUAGGAAAGAGGGGAGUCCUACUCCUACUAGGAGGAGGACUCCUCCCGCGCCUACAGGGGCCGGUCAGCCUCCCCCCUUGCUCCUUUAUAUACGGGGGCAGGGGCACCUCUAGACACACAAGUUGAUCUAUUGAUCUCCCAGCCGUGUGCGGUGCCCCCUCCACCAUAAUCCACCUCGAUCAUAUUGUAGCGGUGCUUAGGCGAAGCCCUGAGUCGGUAGCAUCAUCAUCACUGUCAUCACGCCGUCGUGCUGACGAAACUCUCCGGCGAAGCUUUGCUGGAUCGGAGCUCGCGGGACGUCAUCGAGUUGAACGUGUGCUGAACUCGGAGGUGCCGUGCGUUCGGUACUUUGAUCGGUCGGAUCGUGAAGACGUACGACUACAUCAACCGCGUUGUGCUAACGCUUCUGCUUUCGGUCUACGAGGGUACAUGGACACACUCUCCCCUCUCGUUGCUAUGCCUCACCAUGAUCCUAUGUGUGCGUAGGAAUUUUUUUGAAAUUACUACGUUCCCCAACAGUGGCAUCCGAGCCAGGUUUAUGCGUAGAUGUAAUAUGCACGAGUAGAACACAAGUGAGUUGUGGGUGAUACAAGUUAUACUGCUUACCAGCAUGUCAUACUUUGGUUUGGCGGUAUUGUUGGAUGAAGCGGCCCGGACCGACAUUACACGUACGCUUACGCGAGACUGGUUCUACCGACGUGCUUUGCACAUAGGUGGCUGGCGGGUGUCAGUUUCUCCAACUUUAGUUGAACCGAGUGUGGCUACGCUCGGUCCUUGAGAAGGUUAAAACGGCACUAACUUGACGAACUAUCGUUGUGGUUUUGAUGCGUAGGUAAGAACGGUUCUUGCUCAGCCUGUAGCAGCCACGUAAAACUUGCAACAACAAAGUAGAGGACGUCUAACUUGUUUUUGCAGGGCAUGUUGUGAUGUGAUAUGGUCAAGACAUGAUGUUAUAUUUAUUGUAUGAGAUGAUCAUGUUUUGUAACGGAGUUGUCGGCAACUGGCAGGAGCCAUAUGGUUGUCGCUUUAUUGUAUGCAAUGCAAUCGCCCUGUAAUUGCUUUACUUUAUCACUAAGCGGUAGCGAUAGUCGUAGAAGCAAUAGUUGGCGAGACGACAACGAUACUACGAUGGAGAUCAAGGUGUCGCGCCGGUGACGAGGGUGAUCAUGACGGUGCUUUGGAGAUGGAGAUCAAAGGCACAAGAUGAUGAUGGUCAUAUCAUAUCACUUAUAUUGAUUGCAUGUGAUGUUUAUCCUUUAUACAUCUUAUUCUGCUUUGUUUGACGGUAGCAUUAUAAGAUGAUCUCUCACUAAAUUUCAAGGUAAAAAUGUUCUCCCUGAGUAUGCACCGUUGCCAAAGUUCGUCGUGCCGAGACACCACGUGAUGAUCGGGUGUGAUAAGCUCAAUGUUCAUCUACAACGGGUGUAAGACAGUUUUACACACGCACAAUACUCGGGUUAAACUUGACGAGCCUACCAUAUGCAAAUAUGGCCUCGGAACACUGAGACCGAAAGGUCGAGCGUGAAUCAUAUAGUAGAUAUGAUCAACAUAGUGAUGUUCACCAUUGAAAACUACUCCAUUUCACGUGAUGAUCGAUUAUGGUUUAGUGGAUAUGGAUCACGUGAUCACUUAGAUGAUUAGAGGGAUGUCUAUCUAAGUGGGAGUUCUUAAGUAAUAUGAUUAAUUGAACUUAAAUUUAUCAUGAACUUAGUACCUGAUAGUAUUUUGCUUGUCUAUGUUGUUGUAGAUAGAUGCCCCGUGUUGUUGUUUCGUUGAAUUUUAAUGCGUUCCUUGAGAAACCAAAGUUGAAAGAUGAUGGUAGCAAUUACACGGACUGGGUCCGUAACUUGAGGAUUAUCCUCAUUGCUGCACAGAAGAAUUACGUCCUGGAAGCACAGUUGGGUGCCAGGCCUGCUGCAGAUGCAACUGCCGACGUUAAGAACGUCUGGCAGAGCAAAGCUGAUGACUACUCGAUAGUUCAGUGUGCCAUGCUUUACGGCUUAGAACCGGGGCUUCAACGACAUUUUGAAUGUCAUGGAGCAUAUGAGAUGUUCCAGGAGUUGAAACUAAUAUUUCAAGCAAAUGCCCGAAUUGAGAGAUAUGAAGUCUCCAAUAAGUUCUACAGCUGCAAAAUGGAGGAGAAUAGUUCUGUCAGUGCACAUGUACUCAAAAUGUCUGGGUAUAACAAUCACUUGAUUCAACUGGGAGUUAAUCUUCCGGAUGAUAGUGUCAUUGAUAGAAUUCUUCAAUCACUGCCACCAAGCUACAAGAGCUUCGUGAUGAACUAUAAUAUGCAAGGGAUGGAUAAGACAAUUCCCGAGCUCUUCGCUGUGCUAAAGGCUACGGAGGUAGAAAUCAAGAAAGAGCCACCAGUUUCAAGAAAAAGGGCAAAGGGAAGAAGAAGGGGAACUUCAAGAAGAACAGCAAACAAGUUGCAGCUCAAGAGAAGAAACCCAAGUCUGGACCUAAGCCUGAGACUGAGUGCUUCUACUGCAAACAGACUGGUCACUGGAAGCGGAACUGCCCAAGUAUUUGGCGGAUAAGAAGGAUGGCAAGGUGAACAAAGGUAUAUGUGAUAUACAUGUUAUUGAUGUGUACCUUACUAGAGCUCGCAGUAGCACCUGGGUAUUUGAUACUGGUUCUGUUGCUAAUAUUUGCAACUCGAAACAAGGACUACGGAUUAAGCGAAGACUGGCUAAGGACGAGGUGACAAUGCGCGUGGGAAAUGGUUCCAAAGUCGAUGUCAUCGCCGUCGGCACGCUACCUCUACAUCUAACUUCGGGAUUAGUUCUAGACCAAAAUAAUUUUUAUUUGGUGCCAGCGUUAAGCAUGAACAUUAUAUCUGGAUCUUGUUUGAUGCGAGACGGUUAUUCAUUUAAAUCUGAGAAUAAUGGUUGUUCUAUUUAUAUGAGUAAUAUCUUUUACUGUCAUGCACCCUUGAAGAGUGGUCUAUUUGUGAUGAAUCUCGAUAGUAGUGAUACACAUAUUCAUAAUGUUGAAGCCAAAAGAUGCAGAGUUGAUAAUGAUAGUGCAACUUAUUUGUGGCACUGCCGUUUGGGUCAUAUUGGUGUAAAGCGCAUGAAGAAACGCUAUACUGAUGGACUUUUGGAAUCACUUGAUUAUGAAUCACUUGGUACUUGCGAACCAUGCCUCAUGCGCAAGAUGACUAAAAUGCCAUUCUCCGGAACAAUGGAGCGAGCAACAGAUUUGUUGGAAAUCAUACAUACUGAUGUAUGUGGUCCGAUGAAUAUUGAGGCUUGCGGUGGGUAUCGUUAUUUUCUCACCUUCACAGCUGAUUUGAGCAGAUAUGGGUAUAUCUACUUAAUGAAACAUAAGUCUGAAAUAUUUGAAAAGUUCAAAGAUGUUCAGAGUGAAGUGGAAAAUCAUCGUAACAAGAAAAUAAAAUUUCUACGAUCUGAUCAUGGAGGAGAAUAUUUGAGUUACGAGUUUGGUCUACAUUUGAAACUAUGCGGAAUAGUUUCGCAAGUCACGCCACCCGGAACACCACAACGUAAUGGUGUGUCCGAAUGUCGUAAUCGUACUUUACUAGAUAUGGUGCGAUCUAUGAUGUCUCCUACUGAUUUACCACUAUCGUUUUGGGGUUAUGCUUUAGAGACGGCUGCAUUCACAUUAAAUAGGGCACCAUCGAAAUCCGUUGAGAGGCCGCCUUAUGAACUGUGGUUUGGCAAGAAACCAAAGUUGUCGUUUCUUAAAGUUUGGGGCUGCGAUGCUUAUGUGAAAAAGUUUCAUCCUGAUAAGCUCAAACCCAAAUCGGAGAAAUUUGUCUUCACAGGAUACCCAAAGGAGACAGUUGGGUACACCUUCUAUCACAGAUCCGAAGGCAAGACAUUCGUUGCUAAGAAUGGAUCCUUUCUAGAGAAGGAGUUUCUCUUGAAAGAAGUGAGUGGGAGGAAAGUAGAACUUGAUGAGGUAACUGUACAUGCUCCCUUAUUGGAAAGUAGUUCAUCGCACAAAUCUGUUCCUGUGACUACUACACUAAUUAGUGAGGAAGCUAAUGAUGAUGAUCAUGUAACUACAGAUCAAGUUACUACCGAACCUCGUAGGUAAACCAGAGUGAGAUCCGCACCAGAGUGGUACAGUAAUCCUGUUCUGGAAGUCAUGUUACUAGACCAUGAUAAACCUAUGAACUAUGAAGAAGCGAUGGUGAGCCCAGAUUCCGCAAAAUGGCUUGAGGCCAUGAAAUCUGAGAUGGGAUCCAUGUAUGAGAACAAAGUGUGGACUUUGGUUGACUUGCCCAAUGAUCGGCAAGCCAUAGAGAAUAAAUGGAUCUUCAAGAAGAAGACUGACGCUGACGGUAAUGUUACUGUCUACAAAGAUCGACUUGUUGUGAAAGGUUUUCAACAAGUUCGAGGGGUUGACUACGAUGAGACUUUCUCACCCGUAGCGAUGCUUAAGUCUAUCCGAAUCAUGUUAGCAAUUGCCGCAUUUUAUGAUUAUGAAAUUUGGCAAAUGGAUGUCAAAACUGCAUUCCUGAAUGGAUUUCUGGAAGAAGAGUUAUAUAUGAUGCAACCGGAAGGUUUUGUCGGUCCAAAGGGAGCUAACAAAGUGUGCGAGCUCCAGCGAUCCAUUUAUGGACUGGUGCAAGCCUCUCGGAGUUGGAAUAAACGUUUUAAUAGUGUGAUCAAAGCAUAUGGAUUUAUACAGACUUUUGGAGAAGCCUGUAUUUACAAGAAAGUGAGUGGGAGCUCUGUAGCAUUUAUGAUAUUGUAUGUGGAUGACAUAUUGCUGAUUGGAAAUGAUAUAGAAUUUCUGGAUAGCAUAAAAGGAUACUUGAAUAAAAGUUUUUUUCAAUGAAAGACCUCGGUGAAGCUGCUUACAUAUUGGGCAUCAAGAUCUAUAGAGAUAGAUCAAGACGCUUGAUAGGACUUUCACAAAGCACAUACCUUGACAAAGUUUUGAAAAAGUUCAAAAUGGAUCAAGCAAAGAAAGGGUUCUUGCAUGUGUUACAAGGUGUGAAGUUGAGUCAAACUCAAUGCCCGACCACUGCAGAAGAUAGAGAGAAAAUGGAAGAUGUUCCCUAUGCUUCAGCCAUAGGCUCUAUCAUGUAUGCAAUGUUGUGUACCAGACCUGAUGUGUGCCUUACUAUUAGCUUAGCAGGGAGGUAUCAAAGUAAUCUAGGAGUGGAUCACUGGACAGCGGUCAAGAACAUCCUGAAAUACCUGAAAAGGACUAAGGAUAUGUUUCUCGUUUAUGGAGGUGACAAAGAGCUAGUCAUAAAUGGUUACGUCGAUGCAAGCUUUGACACUGAUCCGGACGAUUCUAAAUCGCAAACCGGAUACGUGUUUACAUUGAACGGUGGAGCUGUCAGUUGGUGCAGUUCUAAACAAAGCGUCAUGGUGGAUCUACGUGUGAAGUAGAGUACAUAGCUGCUUCCACUAUAAGAAAUAUGUCAACUAGUGACCUUCUCCCAGUGACCCUGGCUGAAUUGGUCGUAAAUCCACGGCCAUUUCGCUUGGAAGGGCUCAAACCGUGAAAUUGCCAUACACCAAAUGGUCAUAAAGUAGACAAGAGUGGUCAACGACCUUCUUUCUACCUGAUUACGACCAAUAUAAAUGGUCAUGAGGUUGUGAACGUGGAUGCAUUGAUACUUAAGGUGUCGCUCAAGGUGGGCUUGGGCCUCGGUGGAACGAGGCCACCUUCUUUUUAAAAAAAAUCUGUGUGCCAUGUAGGCCUCGGCCCAUCCAGGAAGAAAUGUGGAAUGCCCUCAUAUUACUCAAAAAGAACAUAUAUUCAGCCCAACGAAAUUGGGAAAAUAACAAGUUUUUCAUUAGAAUAGGAAAAUAAUGAACCCCUUCGUGAAUCUUUCUAUAUGGUUUAGCAAAUUACAAAACUAAACAUGUAAUUCAAAAAAUGUUAAUGUUAAUACGUAUUUCAAAAAAUGUAAUCACGUGUUUAAAAAACUAAAUGUGUGCAUUUGAAAAGUUUCAUGCAUAUAAAAAAUGAUAAUCAUAAAUAAUAUUAGACAUGUAUAAAAAAAGUUUCAUGUGUAUGCAAAAAUAAUCAUCAGUACGUAUAUAUGAAAAUUUUAGAAUAUAUAUAUGGAAAAGUAGAUAACAAAACAAGAUUUUCUAAAAAUGUUAAUCAUGUAUUUAAAUUUUUCUAACCAAUAUCAACAAUGUUUUAUAUGUAUACAAAAAUGUACAAUGUGUAAAAACAAAUAUAGACAUCAAAACCUAUGUAUGAAAAGAUAUUUUUUAUUGGGACUACAUGAAAAUAUGUUAAUCAUGUAUUUCAAAAAGUUAAACAUAUAUAAACAAUAUGUACAAUGUGUCCUAAAAAAUGUAGACAUGUGUUCAAAAUAUUAGACAUCAAAAUAUUUAUUAAAAAUGUUAAUGAUGUAACUAAAACCGUUUAAUAUCUAUAAAAAAUGUUUCUAGUGUACACAAAUUUGUUCAUAAAAUGUGGUCUAAUAUUCUUUAAAAAUGGAGAAAUUGUUUUACAACAAAUAUUUGUUAGGUUCUUCACAAAAAAACUCAUUUUGGGAACUCAAAAAAUGGAAAAUGAAUAUGCGGAAAUUUGUCUUUUUCACGAGAGGUGGAUCAAAAAACUUUUUACACGCAACCAUUUGGUCAAUUGUGCAUUAAAUAUGGCCUAUUAUUUUAGAAAUUUGAUUUGGUCCAUUUUUGUAACAAUUAUUUGAUAGGUUCUUCACAAAAAAACUCAUUUUAGACACUCGAAAAAUAGAAAAUGAUUUUUUCAUCCAAAGAAAAUGAAAACUUCCUUAGGCAACAUUGUUUGCCAUUCCAAUAUGCACCCUUGUGCACAAUAUGGGAUCAUUUGAACAAACUAUUCCAUGAAUGUGGCCAUAAGAUUGAUCAUUUGCCUUGAAAGCCAUUGAUCUCCACACAUGAUAGCUCGUUUCUGAGAACAUUUUUUUAAAUAUUUGUCGUAUUACAAGUUUAUUGUUUUUCUUGGUAACUUGGCCAUAUAUAAUGACACAAUGCGAAGGUUUUCCAAUUUUUAGAUUUUUUUGAUUUUUUUUUGAAUUUUUCAUGCCCGUUUCAAAAUGCGGUCAAAACGGCGGGCAUGACCGUUGCUAGCUAGUGGGUGAAUCUUGGAAAUUUUUUGGUGUUUCUCUGAUUAAAUAGAUACUUUUGUACCUAAAAAUGAUUUUUGGGAAAAAUAAAUAGCAAACUAUAAGGCAGCUACAGUUCAAAUUUGACCCAUUUCCUACUAAAUCGGCGGAAAUUUGUCUUUUUCACAAGAGGUAGAUAAAAACUUUUAACACCCAACCAUUUUGUCAAUUGUGCAUUAAAUAUCGCCUAAUAUUUUAGAAAAUUGAUUUGAUCCAAUUUUGCAACAAAUAUAUGGUAGAUCCUUCACAAAAAAACUCAUUUUGGGCAUUCAAAAAAUGGAAAAUGAAUUUUUCGUCAAAGAAAAUGAAAAAUCCCUUAGGCAACAUUGUUCGCCAUUCCAAGAUGCACCCUUGUGCACAAUAUGAGAUCCUUUGAACAAACUAUCCCAUGAAUGUGGCCAUAAGAUUGUUCAUUUGGUUUGAAAGCCAUGAAUCUUCACACAUGAUAGCUCAUUUCUGAGAACGAUUUUUUAAAAGGUUUGGUGUAUUACAAGUUUAUUAUUUUUCCCGGUAACUUGGUCACAUAUAAUGACACAAUGCGGAGGUUUCCCAAUUUUUUAAUUUUUUUAAUUUUUUAUGCCCGUUUCAAAAUGCGGUCAAAACGACGAGCAUGACCGUUCCUAGCUAGUGGUUGAAUCUUGGAAAACUUUUGGUGUUUAUCUGAUUAAAUAGAUACUUUUGUACCUAAAAAUGAUUUUUGGGAAAAAUAAAUAGCAAACUAUGAGGCAGCUAUAGUUCAAAUUUGACCCGCUUCCUACUGAAUCGGCGGAAAUUUGUCUUUUUCACCAGAGGUGGAUCAAAGCUUUUGACACCCAACCAUUUGGUGCAUUAAAUAUGGCCUAGUAUUUUAUAAAAUUGAUUUGGUCCAAUUUUGCAACAAAUAUAUGGCAUAGCUUCCCAACAAAUUUUUCAUGCAAAGAAAAUGAAAACUUCCUUAAGGCAACAUUCUUUGCCAUCCCAAUAUCCAACCUCGUGCACAAUAUGAGAUUAUUUGAACAAACUAUGCCAUAAAUGUGGCCAUAAGAUUGAUCAUUUGCUUGAAAGCCAUUGAUCUCCACACAUGAUAGCUCGUUUCUGAGAACACUUUUUUAAAAAUAAUUACCGUACUACAAGUUUAUUAUUUUUCCUAGUAACUUGGUCACAUAUAAUGACACAAUGCGAAGGUUUUCCAAUUUUUUGAAUUUUUUUGAAUUUUUCAUGCACGUUUCAAAAUGCGGUCAAAACAGCGGGCACACCCGUUCCUAGCUAGUGGUUGAAUCUUGGAAAAUUUUUUGGUGUUUCCCCGAUUAAAUAUAUACUUAUGUACCUAGAAAUUAUUUUUGGAAAAAAUCAUGAGCAAACUAUGAGGCAGCUGCUGUUCAAAUUUGACCCGCUUCCAACUGAAUCGGCGGAUAUUUGUCUUUUUCACGAGAGGUGGAUAAAAGCUUUGGACACUCAACCAUUUGGUCAAUUGUGCAUUAUAUAUGGCCUAGUAUUUUAGAAAAUUGAUUUGGUACAAUUUUGCAACAAAUAUAUGGUAGAUCCUUUACAACAAACUCAUUUUGCACGCUUGAAAAAUGGAAAAUGGUCUAAAAAAACUCAUUUCUCCUAACUCUUUUAAAAAAUAUUUGUCUUAUUUCGAUUUGUCAUUAUUCCUGAAAACUAAGGUCAAAUUUGAUGACACAUGAGAAGGUAUUCUAUUUUUAUUUUUAUUUUUCACGUCAUAAAAUAGCCAAUAUGAUUUAGCACCUUACUUAUUACGACCAAUUUAGAUGGUCAAAAUGUGGUACUUGUAUACUGCGUUCUGAUUGGUCCAGGAGCAUCUCACGCGGAUCGUGCCUAAUCACCGUCGGAUGCUCCUGGAUCCAACGGCCCGCCUGUCUCACCCACGUCGCCCAACCCACAAUGCGCACUCCUCCCACGCACCCAACCACUGCCCCUCUCUCUCUCUCUUGCGAACCCCACCCAACCCCUCGUGCCCUCCUCUCUCUCUCUCGAACCCUAGCGCUCCACUCCUCCCUAGCCGCCGCCACCUCCGGCGCCCUCUGUCCGGCGAGAUCCAUAUGGAUCGAUCCCCUCCAACCCACGACUCCACGACUCCUCCUCCUCCUCUCUGGAUCGAUCCGCAACCGCUUCCAACCCAGCCGCCGCCGCAGACUUCCCCAAUCCCGGCCUCCUCCACGCCGAUUCGAGCGACACUCCCCACUUCCAGACCAAACCCUAGCCUGAGACCCCUUCCUCCGCGAUGGCCAACACCUCCAUGGCGGCCGGCGGCGGGGUGCUGUUGGCGGAGGGGGUCCGUGCCCUCAGGGCCCAUAUCCGCAACCGCUUCCGCGUGGCUCCCGUCGACCGCGUGGUUGCGGCCUUGGCGACGCAAUGGUAGCAUCGGCCCUGGCAGCGUUGGCAGCGGCGAGCCAGUCCCUGAGAAACCGCGAGAUCCUCGACGCUGUGGGCACCACCGCGGGGGCGCUAAGAACCACCGAUGCCGAUGGGGUCGAACGAGGCGGACAAGCCGUUGCGGCGGAUCGGCGCGUUGAUACGUCUCCAACGUAUCUAUAAUUUUUUUAUUGUUCCAUGCUAUAUUAUAUUCUGUUCUGACAUUAUUGGGCUUUGUUAUACACUUUUAUAUUAUUUUUGGGACUAACCUAUUAACCGGAGGCCCAGCCCAGAAUUGUUGUUUUUUGCCUAUUUCAGAGUUUAGCAGAAAAAGAAUAUCAAACGGAGUCCAAACGGAAUGAAACCUUCGGGAACGUGAUUUUCGAAACGAACGUGAUCCAGAGGACUUGGACCCUACGUCAAGAAAGCUACCAGGAAGGCACGAGGUAGGGGGGGCGUGCCUACCCCCCAGGGCGCGCCCUCCACCCUCGUGGGGCCCACGUUGCUCCACCGACGUACUUCUUCCUCCUAUAUAUACCUACGUACCCCCAAACUGCCAGAUACGGAGCCAAAAACUUAAUUCCACCGCCGCAACCUUCUGUAUCCGUGAGAUCCCAUCUUGGAGCCUUUUCCGGAGCUCCGCCGGAGGGGGCAUCGAUCACGGAGGGCUUCUACAUCAACACCAUAGCCUCUCCGAUGAUGUGUGAGUAGUUUACCUCAGACCUUCGGGUCCAUAGUUAUUAGCUAGAUGGCUUCUUCUCUCUUUUUGGAUCUCCAUACAAUGUUCUCCCCCUCUCUUGUGGAGAUCUAUUCGAUGUAAUCUUCUUUUGCGGUGUGUGUGUUGAGACCGAUGAAUUGUGGGUUUAUGAUCAAGUUUAUCUAUGAACAAUAUUUGAAUCUUCUCUGAAUUCUUUUAUGUAUGAUUGGUUAUCUUUACAAGUCUCUUCGAAUUAUCAGUUUGGUUUGGCCUACUAGAUUGAUCUUUCUUGCAAUGGGAGAAGUGCUUAGCUUUGGGUUCAAUCUUGCGGUGUCCUUUCCCAGUGACAGUAGGGGCAGUAAGGCACGUAUUGUAUUGUUGCCAUCGAGGAUAACAAGAUGGGGUUUAUAUCAUAUUGCAUGAGUUUAUCCCUCUACAUCAUGUCAUCUUGCUUAAAGCGUUACUCUGUUCUUAUGAACUUAAUACUCUAGAUGCAUGCUGGAUAGCGGUCGAUGUGUGGAGUAAUAGUAGUAGAUGCAGGCAGGAGUCGGUCUACUUGUCUCGGACGUGAUGCCUAUAUACAUGAUCAUACCUAGAUAUUCUCAUAACUAUGCUCAAUUCUGUCAAUUGCUCAACAGUAAUUUGUUCACCCACCGUAAUACUUAUGCUCAUGAGAGAAGCCACUAGUGAAACCUAUGGCCCCCGGGUCUAUUUUCCAUCAUAUUAAUCUCCCGAAACAAGCUAUUUCUGGUGCCGUCUUUAUUUUGUUUUUUUAUUUUGCAUUAAUCAUAAAAAUACCAAAAAUAUUAUCUUAUCAUAUCUAUCAGUUCUCACUCUCGUAAGUGACCGUGAAGGGAUUGACAACCCUUUAUUGGGUUGGUUGCGAGGAUUUAUUUGUUUGUGUAGGUGCGAGGGGCUCGUGCGUGGCCUCCUACUGGAUUGAUACCUUGGUUCUCAAAAACUGACGGAAAUACUUACGCUACUUUGCUGCAUCACCCUUUCCUCUUCAAGGGAAAACCAACGCAGUGCUCAAGAGGUAGCAAGAAGGAUUUCUGGCGCCGUUGCCGGGGAGUCUACGCAAAAGUCAACAUACCAAGUACCCAUCACAAACCCUUAUCUCCCGCAUUACAUUAUUUGCCAUUUGCCUCUGGUUUUCCUCUCCCCCACUUCACCCCUGCAGUUUUAUUCACCCUCUCUUUUCCGUUUGCCUUCCUCUUUCCUUUUUGCCCCUUGCACUUUCUCCCGUUAUGUCUGAAAUUGGGGAAAUUAUUGUCGAUAUGGACAAUAAUAAUAUCAUGGAAAAUUAUGAUGCUCUUGCUAAAGAACCCCCUAACUUGCAUACAAAAAAUUUCGAAUUGGUAGUGGUAAUAUUAUUGGAAAAGGGGUUAUUCAAGAUUUCUUUACUUGUGCCGGUGAUUUGCCCUCUAUGGGCAGUUCUAUUCUUCAUAGAACUAGAAGCUUGCGGACGCCAUUGCCAUGCUUGUAGUUGAACUUGAAAGACAAUUUAUGCACAUGCACCCUUGCAUACAAAGGAUCUUCCUAGAAUUUUCUAAUAUAGAGCAUUCUUCCGUUAAGCGUGCCGCUACUAUCUUUUUGGCUCAUGAGUUCAGAUUUAUAAUAAAAGAGGCCAAAGAAAUCUUUGCGCAUUAUAGGGUGGACGCUGGCCGUCCUCCCAUAGAGACUAUCCUCUUUGAUCAAGAAGAAAUAAUGCGUUUUCAAUCUCUAGACUAUGUUGCUUUCAAUGAAAACCUUAGAAAAAAGGUUCCUACCAAUAUUCUAGUUGAUCGAAUUUCUGAACUUAAUGAUGAUUUGGCUAUUCAAAAUAAUGAGCUAGGAUAUUCUCUCGAGUAUAGGCUCACAAAGUUCUGUCAAAAGAAUGCUUAUAAUGAUGAAUUGGUUGUGCAAUACGAAGGGCCGAAGGAGGAACCUAUACCUCCUAAAGUUGAUCUUGGGGACUUUUGUCCCAUUAAAUUUAGCCCUUUUGAUUACUUUUGCUUGCCCCAAAGGAAACUCGCUGCUGAACGUAGAGAAUAUGAAACGAGUUUUAAUGAUCUAUCCUAUUAUUAUGGCAAUACCUAGAUCUAUCCUUGCUUUUAUGCCUAGCUAAGGGCGUUAAACGAUAGCGCUUGUUGGGAGGCAACCCAAUUUUUAUUUUUAGUUUUUUGCUUUUUGCUUCUGUUUAGGAAUAAAUAUUUGAUCUAGCCUCUGGUUAGAUUUUUUAUGUUUUAAUUAGUGUUUGUGCCAAGUUAAACCUAUAGGAUCUUCUUGGAUGAUAGUUAUUUGAUCUUGAGAAAAUUCCAGAAACUUUCUGUUCACGAAAAUAAUUGUUAAAAAUAGCCAGAACGUGAUAAAAUAUUGAUUCCAAUUGCUGCUGAUCAAUAAACAAAUUAUGUAGGUCGUCCUAUUUUGGCUGAAUUUUUGAGUUCCAGAAGUUUGCGUUAUUUACAGAUUACUACAGACUGUUCUGUUUUUGACAGAUUCUGUUUUUCGUGUGUUGUUUGCUUAUUUUGAUGAAUCUAUGGCUAAUAAAAUAGUUUAUAAACCAGAGAGAAGUUGGAAUACAGUAGGUUUAACACCAAUAUAAAAAAAGAAUGAGUUCAUUACAGUACCUUGAAGUGGUGUUUUGUUUUCUUUCGCUAACGGAGCUCACGAGAUUUUCUGUCAAGUUUUGUGUUGUGAAGUUUUCAUGUUUUGGAUGAAAGAUUUGAUGGAUUAUGGAAUAAGGAGUGGAAAGAGGCUAAGCUUGGAGAUUCCCAUGGCACCCCAAGAUAAUCUAAGGACACCUAAAAUCCAAAGCUUGGGGAUGCCCCGGAAGGCAUCCCCUCUUUCGUCUACUUCCAUCGGUAACUUUACUUGUAGCUAUAUUUUUAUUCACCACAUGAUAUGUGUUUUGCUUGGAGCGUCUUGUAUUAUUUGAGUCUUUAUUUGUUAGUUUACCACCAUCAUCUUUGCUGUACACACCUUUUAAGAGAGACACACAUGAUUCAGGAAUUGUUAGAAUACUCUAUGUGCUUCACUUAUAUCUUUUGAGUUAUAUAGUUUUGCUCUAGUACGUGCUUCACUUAUAUCUUUUAGAGCACGGCGGUAGAUUUGUUUUAUAGAAACUAUUGAUCUCUCAUGCUUCACUUAUAUCUUUUUGAGAGUCCUAUAAAAUAGCAUGGCAAUUUGCUUUAAUUAUAAUAUCAUGAGAAAUUUGAUACUAGAUGAUUGUUUUGAGAUAUAAAGGUGGUAAUAUCAUAGUUGUGCUAGUUGAGUAAUUGUGGAAUUGAAAAAUACUUGUGUUGGAGUUUGUGAUUCCCUUAGCAUGCACGUAUGGUGAACCGUUAUGUAACGAAGUCGGAGCAUGAGGUAUUUAUUGAUUGUCAUCCUUUGUGUGGCGGCCGGGAUCGCGCGAUGGUUAACUCCUACCAACCCUUCCCCUAGGAGCAUGCGUAGUAGUACUUUGCUUCGAGGGCUAAUAAAUUUUUGCAAUAAGUAUAUGAGUUCUUUAUGACUAAUGUGAGUCCAUGGAUUAUACGCACACUUACCUUUCCGCAAUUUUCUAGCCUCUUCGAUACCGUGCAUUGCCCUUUCUCACCUUGAGAGUUGGUGCAAACUUCGCCGGUGCAUCCAAACCCAGUGAUAUGAUACGCUCUAUCACACAUAAACCUCCUUAUAUCUUCCUCAAAACAGCCACCAUACCUACCUAUUAUGGCAUUUCCAUAGCCAUUCCGAGAUAUAUUGCAUGCAACUUUCCAUCGUUCCAUUUAUCAUGACAUGCUCCAUCAUUGUCAUAUUGCUUUGCAUGAUCAUGUAGUUGACAUCGUAUUUGUGGCAAAGCCACCAUUCAUAAUUCUUUCAUACAUGUCGCUCUUGAUUCAUUGCAUAUCCCGGUACACCGCCGGAGGCAUCCACAUAGAGUCAUAAUUUGUUCUAAGUAUUGAGUUGUAAGUAAAUAAAAGUGUGAUGAUCAUCAUUAUUAGAGCAUUGUCCCAAGUGAGGAAAGGAUGAUGGAGACUAUGAUUCCCCCACAAGUCGGGAUGAGACUCCGGACUAAAUAAAAAAAAGAGGCCAAAAAAAGAGAAAAGGCCCAAAAAAUGAGAGAAAAAGAGAGAAGGGACAAUGUUACUAUCCUUUUACCACACUUGUGCUUCAAAGUAGCACCGUGAUCUUCAUAAUAGAGAGUCUCUUAUUUUGUCACUUUCAUAUACUAGUGGGAAAUUUCAUUAUAGAACUUGGCUUGUAUAUUCCAAUGAUGGGCUUCCUCAAAAUGCCCGAGGUCUUCGUGAGCAAGCAAGUUGGAUGCACACCCACUUAGUUUCUUUUUGAGCUUUCAUACACUUAUAGCUCUAGUGAAUCCGUUGCAUGGCAAUCCCCACUCCUUACAUUAACAUCAAUUGAUGGGCAUCUCCAUAGCCCAUUGAUUAGCCUCGUUGAUGUGAGACUUUCUCCUUUUUUGUCUUCCCACAUAACCCCUACCAUUAUACCUUAUUCCACCACAGUGCUAUAUCCAUGGCUUGCGCUCAUGUAUUACGUAAGAAUUGAAAAGGCUGAAGCGCGUUAAAAUUAUGAACCAAUUGCUUGGCUAAAACCGAGGUUGUACAUGAUAUGAAUAUUUUGUGUGGGGAAGAUGGAGCAUAGCCAGACUAUAUGAUUUUGUAGGGAUAACUUGCUUUGGCUAUGUUAUUUUGAUAAGACAUAAUUGCUUGGUUAGCAUGCUUGAAGUAUUAUUGUUUUUAUGUCAACAUUAAACUCUUAUCUUGAGUCAUAUUAAAUCUGAACAUUCGUGCCACAAUAAGAAGAACUACAUUGAAAUUAUGCUAAGUAGCAUUCCACAUCAAAAAUUCUGUUUUUAUCAUUUACCUACUCGAGGACGAGCAGGAAUUAAGCUUGGGAUGCGGAUACGUCUCCAACGUAUCUAUAAUUUUUUAUUGUUCCAUGCUAUAUUAUAUUCUGUUUUGGACAUUAUUGGGCUUUAUUAUACACUUUUAUAUUAUUUUUGGGACUAACCUAUUAACCGGAGGCUGCUACCUCUUGACCUUCUCUUUUGUUUCUUGACGUAGGGUCCAAGUCCUCUGGAUCAUGUUCGUUCCGAAAAUCACGUUCCCGAAUGUUUCAUUCCGUUUGGACUCCGUUUGAUAUUCUUUUUCUGCGAAACUCUAAAAUAGGCAAAAAAACAGCAAUUCUGGGCUGGGCCUCCGGUUAAUAGGUUAGUCUCAAAGAUAAUAUAAAAGUGUAUAAUAAAGCCCAAUAAUGUCCAAAACAGAAGAUAAUAUAACAUGGAGCAAUCAAAAAUUAUAGAUACGUUGGAGACGUAUCAGAGGCCCAGCCCAGAAUUGCUGGUUUUUGCCUAUUUCAGAGUUUCGCAGAAAAAGAAUAUCAAGCGGAGUCCAAACGGAAUGAAACCUUCGGGAACAUGAUUUUUGGAACGAACAUGAUCCAGAGGACUUGGACCCUACAUCAAGAAAGCUACCAGGAAGGCACGAGGUAGGGGGGUGCCCCUACCCCCCAGGGCGCGCCCUCCACCCUUGUGGGGCCCAAGUUGCUCCACCAACGUACUUCUUCCUCCUAUAUAUACCUACGUACCCCCAAACUACCAGAUACGGAGCCAAAAAUCUAAUUCCACCGCCGCAACCUUCUGUACCCGUGAGAUCCCAUCUUAGUGCCUUUUUUGAACCUCCGCCGGAGGGGGCAUCGAUCACGGAGGGCUUCUACAUCAACACCAUAGCCUCUCCAAUGAUGUGUGAGUAGUUUACCUCAGACCUUCGGGUCCAUAGUUAUUAGCUAGAUGGCUUCUUCUCUCUUUUUGGAUCUCAAUACAAUGGUCUCCCCCUCUCUUGUGGAGAUCUAUUCGAUGUAAUCUUCUUUUGCGGUGUGUUUGUUGAGACCGAUGAAUUGUGGGUUUAUGAUCAAGUUUAUCUAUGAACAAUAUUUGAAUCUUCUCUGAAUUCUUUUAUGUAUGAUUGGUUAUCUUUACAAGUCUCUUCGAAUUAUCAGUUUGGUUUGGCCUACUAGAUUGAUCUUUCUUGCAAUGGGAGAAGUGCUUAGCUUUGGGUUCAAUCUUGCGGUGUCCUUUCCCAGUGACAGUAGGGGCAGCAAGGCACGUAUUGUAUUGUUGCCAUCGAGGAUAACAAGAUGGGUUUUAUAUCAUAUUGCAUGAGUUUAUCCCUUUACAUCAUGUCAUCUUGCUUAAAGCGUUACUCUGUUCUUAUGAACUUAAUACUCUAGAUGCAUGCUGGAUAGCGGUCGAUGUGUGGAGUAAUAGUAGUAGAUGCAGGUAGGAGUCGGUCUACUUGUCUCGGACGUGAUGCCUAUAUACAUGAUCAUACCUAGAUAUUCUCAUAACUAUGCUCAAUUCUGUCAAUUGCUCAACAGUAAUUUGUUCACCCACCGUAAUACUUAUGCUCAUGAGAGAAGCCACUACUGAAACCUAUGGCCCCCGGGUCUAUUUUCCAUCAUAUUAAUCUCUCGACAACAAGCUAUUUCUGGCGCCGUUUUUAUUUUGUUUUCUUUAUUUUGCAUCUUUAUCAUAAAAAUACCAAAAAUAUUAUCUUAUCAUAUCUAUCAGUUCUCACUCUCGUAAGUUACCGUGAAGGGAUUGACAACCCCUUUAUUGCAUUGGUCGCGAGGAUUUAUUUGUUUGUGUAGGUGCGAGGGACUCGUGCGUGGCCAAGGCAAUACUUUGCUGCAUCACCCUUUGAUACGUUGGUUCUCAAAAACUGACGGAAAUACUUACGCUACUUUGCUGCAUCACCCUUUCCUCUUCAAGGGAAAUCAACGCAGUGCUCAAGAGGUAGCACGCCUCGCUCGAGCAGCUCGCGGCCGUCGCCAAGCAGCAGCAGCAACCCACGAUGGCGGCGGGGGACUUCUCGCGCGCCUGCUCCAACGUCUCCGUCCUCUUCUUCUGCCUCGGCAUCGCCUUCAAGUUUGCGGAGAUGGACUACGUAGCCAAGGCAAGCGGCCGCUCCUCCGCCCCCCUCUCCUCCCCCGCUACAUGCUCUGCUGUUCGGUAUGCUACUUCGUUGUGCUUGUACUGCAUGUGGUAAAAUUUCUGGUGAUUCCUUCCCGGGACAUUGGUUUAGUUGUGUGAAGCUGAGAGGUUUGGGAUGAAAUGACCCCAAAAUUCUCAACCGGAUCGAGUUGGUGAGUUCUGUUUGAGUUUACUUUUGAUUGGUAUACGCUGCAUAGCUGCGCGCCAUCCACGUGGGAAGGUAAUUGUGUUGAUCCACUUUAGUUUGAGGCUAGGAGGUUUGGGUGAAAUGAUCUGUCGAAUUCCGAACUGGAUCAAGCAGCAAUAAUUGGUUGUUUCAUCAGGAUCAGACUGUCUAAUUCUGCUACUGUGUGCUAUGCUUGUUGAGGUUGUACGCUUCAGGUGUAGAAUAUCCUACCCACUUCUGCACUUGAGUCGCCGGAGAACCAUGCACUACUAAGCAAUGCACUAGAAUGGCACACUGAAGCAUACACUACUUUAUUGUACACUUAUGCUAGUUGUUAUUGAAAUUUGCCCUGUCAAUUCCUUACUGAAAUUUCCUCCUAUCGAAUUCUUAAUGAAAUUGUAAGCUUUCUUACUGAAUUACAGAAGUAUCAUUGCUUGUUCAAGAACAAAUGUUUGACUGUAUCUCCAAUGCACUCAAUCAUUCUUUGUGAUUACAGUUUUGACUGUAUCUCCAGCAUUGACAAAUACCAUUGCUUGUUCAAAUUUAUACUGGAGUUGCUUGUUCAACACUGAUAAAAUAUCAUUGCUUCUUUAAGGACUCCACUAUACUGAACAAAUAUAUGGAAGUUAAUGUUGCGUAGUUAGUCUUUUUGCACUGCAUUUGUACAAUUGUGUAUUCUUGCCAGUACUAGGCGAUUCCUUGAAUUAUUCAGUUCGUUGUAGCAUACCAGUUUGAUGGAAUGCCUAAGGUAUAAGGAGAUAAACAUUGGUAUCCAGAAUAGAUCUACCUAAAUCAACAGGCACAAAACAUGCAUAUCCCUUUAAUCUACAUUAGUGCGUCUAAGUGGUUAGUGUAUUGUAACCUCCACCAUGGAGCAGUGAAAUAAGCUGACGCUAUAUAACGUGCAGCUAGCUUGCUGUUUAGACAUUUUCCCGUUUUUAAAUAUUACUUUUCUCUAUAUCUGUGAAUUGGAUCGUCGAUCUUUCCUGGAGUCGAUUUUGCGCUAGAUCUUCUAAAACUAACCAGUCCAGGGAAGAACUUCUUUCUUAUCUUAAUGUUUUGUAGAACCCCCAGAUUGACCAUAUAUAUUGCAUGCUAUCAAUCACGAUACAUGUUAUGUCUUUCCUAUCAUGUGUUCCGAGGGUUCAAUCUACAAGAAAACCCAUCAGACCUGUAUAUGUCAUCUGAUUUAGAUCACUUAAUUUCAUACAUGGAUUGCUGAGGUUUUUUGAUCUUGCAGGUCGCGGCGACCACCAAGAAGACACCCAACUUCCGCACCCCGAACUACCCUACCCGAGCCUGCCGUCGUAGCUGCUGUGUCAAGUCCACAACAUCACCAUGCAUGUAGGUGUACUUGGUUCAUCUUCAGGUUCAGGUGUAGGGGGUAGUGGCCUUAAGCAUUAACCAUUUAAUCCUGAUGAAUGCUGCUUGUUUUGCACAGGCUGACAAGGACAAUGACGAGGUCUACGCACAGAUGACUCUGCAACCAAUAAACUCUGUAAGUACUGUCAGAAACGGAGCUUGGUGAAGAUAUUCAGAACAUGUUGAACUGCGUUUUCUCUACAUGUCCUUUUAUCGGUUUGCAUGCUGCAUGUUUGAUGUUUUGCCUGAGCUGGGGACGAAAUGGUACUGAAUGCCUGAAAGUAAAGUUAACAGUGUUCAGUUUAAGUGUACAUUUCGAGAUCAGUGCCAGUGUUUAUAAACGCUCAAAAUAUGUACAGUAUUUCUUAGAUUAACGAGUGCUUACUGUAUAAUUUAGGAAAGUUUUAAUAAUACUACAGCAGAUGCUAAUUAAAUCAGGAAGUGAAGCACUACCAAACGUACCGUAUACAAUGUUCAGUUCAAGUUUAAUUUUCAAUUUAGUGCCAGAGUUUAUCAUCAACCCAAAAAAUAUAUCUGAUUUUCACAUUGACGAGUACUACAGCUUACUUCUCCCAUUCCUUGGUUGAAGACUCUGUUUUGAACCGAGCCUUGCAGCAAGGAGGGAAUGGCUGCGUUUGUUUUGUGCUUGGACGCCUUCUCCUAGUUGUGCUAAAAUUGAGGUGCUUGUUUAAUUAACAAGCACCUUUCAUCCCCACUGUGACAGUAAUGCAUUGAGGUGCCUCUGGACUGUAGUGUAUUAGGUUGCCAGGAGUAGUAAAACUUAGUGUUGUAUUGAGGAUUGAGGUGGCUGGGCUUAUAAGUUAAUCAUCAGCGUGAAUGCUUUGUUUGUCUGAUCCUCACAAGUUAAUGCUUCGCUCGUCUGGGUGUGUGAUAAUGCCAUGUGUCUUGUGCAAUCAGAUUACAUUUCUGUUUGUUAUGGUAAUAUAAAAAAUAUUCGUGCUGUCAAAAUUUUCACAGUGCGUGCCUUUCAUUUCAUUAGUUUGAUUGUUUCCCCUGUAUUCAAUAUGCUUCUAGUGGCUGAUCCUUCCAUUUUUUUUGUGGCAUCUUUAUUUUCACAGGUGUUGUUUGUUCUGGAAGAUGGAAGAGGAAGAAAACCUAUUUCUGUUGAACUAAAUUUUCUGUAUUCUGUUUUGUUGUACGUAUCAUUUGAUAGUUUUGUAUAGGAACAAGUGAUACUAUUUUGUAGGGCUUUAUGGCCUAUGAUGUAAACAUAUUUAGUGCUGAAAUAUGAAAUUAUUUGCAAAAUUUGUCGAAAAGGAGGAUCAUAUGUAUGAAUAUGUGAAUGGGCUGAAAAGAGUAUUGGACCAACUCCAGGAUUGAAUUAUUAUUUGAAUGUAUAAAAAGGCUGAAUGUAAACCAGAAAUGGGCUGCACAAAAUUGUACAUAUAUUCUUGAAAGGCCAAACAUGCAUAAAAAUUGACGGGCUGACCAGUUGGGCUUGGCCCACGUAGGUGACAAAAAUUAACAGAAAUAAAUAUACUAAAUGGGCUGAAUUAAUGGGCUCGGCCCAUAUAAACACCGAAUUGGAUCGGGCUGAUUCUUAUCCACGUCAGCUUGCCAUGCUGGAUCCUACGUGGCCUGGGGAGGCUGCUAGUGACCAAAAGUUUGGUCAAAGAACCAAGGACCUUUUACAUAUCACAAAGAAGGUCGUGAAUUUCAGUUUACGACCGCCAGCUUUUGACCUUCUGUUUUUUGUUAUAAAAAGGUCGCAAAUGAAAAACAAUGACCUUUCAGUGACCAAUAGUGAUGGUCGCAAGUUGACAUAUUUCUUGUAGUGUUCGGAAGCAGCAAAUGAAGGAGUCUGUAUGAAGGAGUUCAUAUCCGAUCUAGGUGUCAUACCUAGUGCAUCGGGACCAAUGAAAAACUUUUGUGACAAUACUGGUGCAAUUGCCUUGGUAAAGGAAUCCAGAUUUCACAAGAGAACCAAGCACAUCAAGAGACGCUUCAAUUCCAUCCCGGAUCAAGUCCAGGUGGGAGACAUAGAGAUUUUCAAGAUACAUACGGAUCUGAAUGUUGCAGACCCGUUGACUAAGCCUCUUCCACGAGCAAAACAUGAUCAGCACCAAGACUCCAUGGGUGUUAGAAUCAUUACUGUGUAAUCUAGAUUAUUGACUCUAGUGUAAGUGGGAGACUGAAGGAAAUAUGCCCUAGAGGCAAUAAUAAAGUUAUUAUUUAUUUCCUCAUAUCAUGAUAAAUGUUUAUUAUUCAUGCUAGAAUUGUAUUAACCAGAAACAUAAUACAUGUGUGAAUACAUAGACAAACAUAGUGUCACUAGUAUGCCUCUACUUGACUAGCUCGUUAAUCAAAGAUGGUCAAGUUUCCUAACCAUAGACAAGAGUUGUCAUUUGAUUAAUGGGAUCACAUCAUUAGGUGAAUGAUGUGAUUGACUUGACCCAUUCCGUUAGCUUAGCAUUUGAUCGUUUAGUUUACUGCUAUUGCUUUCUUCAUGACUUAUACAUGUUCCUAUGACUAUGAGAUUAUGCAACUCCCGAUUACCGGAUGAACAAUUUGUGUGCUACCAAACGUCACAACGUAACUGGGUGAUUAUAAAGGUGCUCUACAGGUGUCUCCGAUGGUACUUGUUGAGUUAGCAUAGAUCGAGACUAGGAUUUGUCACUCCGAUUGUCGGAGAGGUACCUCUGGGCCCUCUCGGUAAUGCACAUCACAAUAAGCCUUGCAAGCAAUGUGACCAAUGAGUUAGUUGCAGGAUGAUGCAUUACGUAACGAGUAAAGAGACUUGCCGGUAACGAGAUUGAGCUAGGUAUUGAGAUACCGACGAUCGAAUCUCGGGCAAGUAACAUACCGAUGACAAAGGGAACAACGUAUGUUGUUAUGCGGUUUGACCAAUAAAGAUCUUCGUAGAAUAUGUGGGAGCCAAUAUGAGCAUCCAGGUUCCGCUAUUGGUUAUUGACCGGAGGCAUGUCUCGGUCAUGUCUACAUAGUUCUCGAACCCGUAGGGCCCGCACGCUUAAAGUUCGGUGACGAUCGGUAUUAUGAGUUUUUGUGUUUUGAUGUACUGAAGGUAGUUCGGAGUCCCGGAUAUGAUCACGGACAUGACGAGGAGUCUCGAAAUGGUCGAGACGUAAAGAUCGAUAUAUUGGACGACUAUAUUCGGACACCGGAAGUGUUCCGGGUGGUUUCGGAGAAAACCGGAGUGCCGGAGGGUUACCGGAACCCCCCCCCCGAGAGAAAUAGUGGGCCUUAUGGGCCUUAGUGGAGAGAGAGAGGGCUGGCCUAUUGCAGGCCACGCGCCCCUCCCCCUCUGGUCCGAAUUGGACUAGGAGAGGGGGGGCGGCGCCCCCCUUUCCUUCUCCCUCUCCCCCUUCCUUUCCCCCUCCUAGUAGGAGUAGGAAAGAGGGGAGUCCUACUCCUACUAGGAGGAGGACUCCUCCUCCUGGCGCGCCUACAGGGGCCGGCCGGCCUCCCCCCUUGCUCCUUUAUAUACGGGGGCAGGGGGCACCUCUAGACACACAAGUUGAUCUGUUGAUCUCUCCCAGCCUUGUGCGGUGCCCCCUCAACCAUAAUCCACCUCGAUCAUAUCGUAGCGGUGCUUAGGCGAAGCCUUGCGUCGGUAGCAUCAUCAUCACCGUCAUCACGCCCCCGUGCUGACGAAACUCUCCGGUGAAGCUUUGCUGGAUCGGAGCUCGCGGGGAAUCAUUGAGUUGAACGUGUGCUGAACUCGGAGGUGCCGUGCGUUCGGUACUUCGAUCGGUCGGAUCGUGAAGACGUGCGACUACAUCAACCGCGUUGUGCUAACGCUUCCGCUUUUGGUCUAUGAUGGUACGUGGACACACUCUCCCCUCUCGUUGCUAUGCAUCACCAUGAUCCUAUGUGUGCGUAGGAAUUUUUUUGAAAUUACUACGUUCCCCAACAUUUUUAGGGGGGGAGCUAAGCUUUAUUGAUGAUAACCAACAUGUAGUGGGAUAUAGUUCGGAUCAUGGGGAUUGGCCAACCAAACAUGGCGUCCCAGACCGAGAGUAAGAGAGUGCUUAGCAAAACUAUGUACUUGGCCAUUAACGGCACGGGCACUGUGCUUUUUUAGGGGGGAAGCUAAGCUUUAUUGAUGAUAAUCCACAUGUAGUGGGAUAUAAUUCGGAUCAUGGGGAUUGGCCAACCAAACAUGGCGUCCCAGACCGAGAGUAAGAGAGAGCUUAGCUAAACUAUGUGCUUCGCCAUUAACGACACGGGUACUGCCCUUUUUUAGGGGGGAAGCUAAGCUUUAUUGAUGAUAAUCCACAUGUAGUGGGAUACAAUUCGGAUCAUGGGGAUUGGCCACCCAAACAUGGCGCCCCAGACCGAGACUAAGAGAGUG